GAUGAACGCUGGCGGCGUGCCUAAUACAUGCAAGUCGAGCGAACAGACGAGGAGCUUGCUCCUCUGACGUUAGCGGCGGACGGGUGAGUAACACGUGGAUAACCUACCUAUAAGACUGGGAUAACUUCGGGAAACCGGAGCUAAUACCGGAUAAUAUAUUGAACCGCAUGGUUCAAUAGUGAAAGACGGUUUUGCUGUCACUUAUAGAUGGAUCCGCGCCGCAUUAGCUAGUUGGUAAGGUAACGGCUUACCAAGGCGACGAUGCGUAGCCGACCUGAGAGGGUGAUCGGCCACACUGGAACUGAGACACGGUCCAGACUCCUACGGGAGGAAGCAGUAGGGAAUCUUCCGCAAUGGGCGAAAGCCUGACGGAGCAACGCCGCGUGAGUGAUGAAGGUCUUCGGAUCGUAAAACUCUGUGAUUAGGGAAGAACAAAUGUGUAAGUAACUAUGCACGUCUUGACGGUACCUAAUCAGAAAGCCACGGCUAACUACGUG
rnacentral:rRNA from 1 species